rnacentral:misc_RNA from 1 species
UCGCAGCCCGGCUUGAGCGGAAAUCCUUUUUGUUAUUGCGAUUGUACAAAUUUUCUACAGAUUGCUUCACUUCGUUCGCAAUGACAAAAAGAUUGGGAGCGGAAGACGGAAAUAGC